CAUGGGCUGCAACUUCAUGGUCCACAGUGCCAUACAACCACAGAAAAGAGAGGUGUUGGCUGUGCAAGCUAAGAGAAAUGUGACAGUCAGCUGGCAAACAUGAGCUCUCUCCUCCCAGGGAUAAUUAAGGGUUUUCUUCACAUCCCUUUGCCACCAAAGGCUUUUCUCCAUCUGGGACUGGGCCCUUUGUAUUAGAGUGUUUGGGGUCUCCCCAAACUCUGGAGAUCUCUUUGGACUUCUUCUGUCCAAAUAAUUGUUGGCUGCUGAAUUGGCCUCUGAUUUAACCAGCUGACUGACUUAAAAAACUGAUGGUUUUUUGUCUUUCUGUCCCCACCGCUGUCUCUUGCAAUGGGCUUGGAGCAGCAGUCACAGCUGCUUCAGUUAUCUCUGAAGCGAUUUGCUCGUCUCAGGUCCUCCAGGAGCAUCUCCCCAGGGGCGCCAUUUGCUGACAGUGAACAGUACUGAUUUCCCCAGCUGACCAAAAAAUGUGGUGAGACCAGAGUAGCUCCAGCACUCACACCCUCAGCACCAAGCAGGUAGGAGCCGUUGGAGGAUUCUGUGGUCCCUCCAGCCACCAGCCAGCUGGUGCUGAUCCCAGAACAUCUCAAAGUCUUUGAGGAGUUAGCAGCACAUGUUAGAGGAACAAGUUUCUCAUGAGUAAAAAGAAAACAAGACAUGAUAACAUCCAGAAGAGGUGAUGGUGUAGUUCUGUUCAGGAUUCAUGGAUUGCCAGGCUUGUGACCUCCUGAGCACUGCUCCUAACCUUCAGAAAUGUUGCUAUCAGUUCCCUGCUGCAGUGACUGCCAAAUAGAGAAGGCAGGAAGAAUUAAUUGCCGUGUUGUUAUUUGAGCUGCAGUAAAUUUUCCCUGUGCAGAGACAAAGAAGAGAAAUAAGCCAGUGGCUCAGUCUGUCCCAUCCCGUUGACACAUUCAGCCCUUGCUGUUGUAACCUGCAGAUCCAGCCUGGCUGAUCAUGGUCCAGGGGGUGUCCCUGGGUUUAUUCUUGUGGAUGGAUCACUGGAGACAUCAGCUUCUUUGGGAGUGAUUUAUGAUCAGGCGGAGCACAGUGAAUCUGACCAUGGAAGAGGGUUUACCUGUGCAGCAGUCCAGCACAAGGUCUUAUUUAGCUGUCAGCUUUUGCUUGAAAUGCACAAGCACAAGGUCUCAGCCCAGCAGCUGCCUGGUUUGCUGUCAUGACUUGGUCCCAGCACCAGAGCAUCACCACAGGAGACAAAGCAAAUGAGAGCCAGGCAGCUGUCUUGCAACCCCAUGGUACAAAUGCAGAACCAGGCAUGGAAGGAUUGCCAGUCGAGUUUCCAAAGCUCCUGGCAUCCCUCUGCAUCUCCCCGGUGAGAGCCCUGGGACAGCCUGAUGCCAAAGUGUCCGGGAUUCCUGCUGCUUUGACUGAAAUAAGGUCAGACAAGAGGCCAAUGCACAUGAAACUGAGACUGAUCCCAGGUGACCUAAAUGCUGGAACCUAUAAACAUCCUAUAACCAAUAUAACCAGUCCUAUAACCACUAGAUACCCCUGCUGCACCACCCCCAGAUCUGAAGCCCAAGGGUGUACCUAGAGCUUCUUCGACUCUUUCUGCACCAGAGUCAACUGAAUCAUGGCAAAGAUUUUAUACUAGUUGUUGAAUAAACCAGACAGGAUUGCUGCU